rnacentral:rRNA from 1 species
GAUGAACGCUAGCUACAGGCUUAACACAUGCAAGUCGAGGGGUAGCAGGGAUUAGCAAUAAUCCGCUGACGACCGGCGCACGGGUGAGUAACACGUAUCCAAUCUGCCUAUUACUCGGGGAUAGCCUUUUGAAAGAAAGAUUAAUACCCGAUGGUAUAAUAAAACUGCAUGGUUUUAUUAUUAAAGAAUUUCGGUAAUAGAUGAGGAUGCGUUCCAUUAGAUUGUUGGUGAGGUAACGGCUCACCAAGUCUUCGAUGGAUAGGGGUUCUGAGAGGAAGGUCCACCACACUGAUACUGAGACACGUACCAGACUCCUACGGGAGGCAGCAGUGAGGAAUAUUGGUCAAUAGUCGGAAGACUGAACCAGCCAAGUCGCGUGAGGGAAGACAGCCCUAUGGGUUUUAAACCUCUUUUGUAAUGGAAGAAUAAGUCUUACGUGUAGGACGAUGCCAGUACAUUACGAAUAAGCAUCGGCUAACUCCGUGCCAGCAGCCGC